UUGUGUGUAUUUAGAGGAGCUUCUCCUUGAUGCCAGUCUGGACACCAGCAGAGAUGCACCGUAAUGCUGUAACCAAGGAUCCACACACGCAGAGAGAAUCAGAAGGGCCGGUUUGUUCUCGCCACAUGGCAUCCGCUCAUAUUCCUCGGGCCUCUUUCCAUCUUUCUCGUGUCUUUUCCACAAAGUGUUGCGACAGAACACAGAGGACUCAGAUUCCUUCCAGUGUUCAGCUUUUAUUGAAAUUAGAAAAAAUCUCUUCUGCGAUUUAAACAUUUGCCGUAAAGUUGUAUGUUCACAGUUACCAAAGACGCACAUGCAGAGAAACACACACACACACACACACACACACUGUUCCUCCCUGUUACGCUGUUGACUGUGACACAUCGCCCCCUGGUGGACUGGAGGUUAUAAUGCAGUGCAGAGACUGACCGGCUGGAACAUGCGAAGCCGUUUCAUUGGUUUUAUCUUUCAGAUAAUCGUCAAGCGGGCCAGACGUUGUUGCAAGUGUCUGUGUGCGUUUGUCUUUAUCAGUGUCU